GUCCACACGGUAAACGAUGAAUACUCGCUGUUGGCGAUAUACAGUCAGCGGCCAAGCGAAAGCAUUAAGUAUUCCACCUGGGGAGUACGCCGGCAACGGUGAAACUCAAAGGAAUUGACGGGGGCCCGCACAAGCGGAGGAACAUGUGGUUUAAUUCGAUGAUACGCGAGGAACCUUACCCGGGCUUAAAUUGCACUGGACAGCUCAAGAGAUUGAGUCUUCUUCGGACCAGUGUGAAGGUGCUGCAUGGUUGUCGU
rnacentral:rRNA from 1 species